GGGUCAGUAGGUUGGUCGUGCCACCGGUACGUACUGGUCUCACUGAUUCCUCCUUCCUGAAGAACCGUAAUGCCAUUAAUUUGGUGUUGCGGGGAAACAGGACUAUUACUUUGAAAAAAUUAGAGUGUUUAAAGCAAGCUAACGCUUGAAUACAUUGGCAUGGAAUAAUGAAAUAGGACGAUCGAUCCUAUUUUGUUGGUUUCUAGGAUUGACGUA
rnacentral:rRNA from 1 species